UACGUAGGGUGCAGGCGUUAAUCGGAAUUACUGGGCGUAAAGCGUGCGCAGGCGGUUUGCUAAGACAGGUGUGAAAUCCCCGGGCUUAACCUGGGAACUGCGCUUGUAACUGGCAAGCUUGAGUGUGGCAGAGGGGGGUGGAAUUCCACGUGUAGCAGUGAAAUGCGUAGAGAUGUGGAGGAACACCGAUGGCGAAGGCAGCUCCCUGGGCUAACACUGACGCUCAUGCACGAAAGCGUGGGGAGCAAACAGG
rnacentral:rRNA from 1 species